CCUACCACCUGUGUCACAUCCCAUUAGGUUCUGUGGAUGAGGCAUGGUGCUUGGCACAGACUGACACAAGUUUGGGCAAACUUGGCAGAGCAGCCUAACCCAAAGCGAAAAACAGAAAUGAACCAAGAUACAACCUCUGUGGAAAACCCUACUGAACAAAAGCAACUCUGUGGAGUGUCCUCUCAGCUGCAAAUUGAGACAGAAUUGUGGGGCAAGCUUGGCCACUGAUGCAGAUUCUGCAGCUUGCUACACAGAAAGCCAGAGACCGAGAGCCAAUGACUGAGACUAUGAGUAUUGCCAAGGAAGAAGGCUUUAAUCGGGUGCUGCAGCUGAAAAGAUGAGAGCUCAGCCUCAAAUCCAUCUCCCUGACCAACUAAAGCUAAGGAUUUAUAUAGCAGGGAAGAAGACAGGAACUAGGAAGGGGCAAGGAAGCGAUCCUGAUGAAUGAAGGGUCAGGCAUUUCAUUGUCUGGAUGUGGCGAUCUGGGAGAGAAGAGAGGAAGGCAGAGAAGGCCUGAACAAGCCUGGCUGGGGAGGGCUCCCAGAGUCCUUGUGACAGAGAUGACUCUACCCACACUUGGGAGACUGAUGUGUCAGGAAAGCAUGCACAGCCAGUUAGGAAAGAAAUUACUCAGAGGCCCGGCCGCCCAUCGUCUGAGAUGUGGGGAGCGCCUCUGCCCCGCCGCCCCAUCUGGGA
rnacentral:lncRNA from 1 species